rnacentral:rRNA from 1 species
GUGUCAGCAGCCGCGGUAAGACGUAGGUCCCGAGCGUUACCCGGAUUCACUGGGCGUAAAGUGCGCGUAGGCGGUCGGGUGUGUCGUCCGUGAAAGCCCCCGGCUCAACCGGGGAACGGCGGACGAAACUGCCCGACUCGAGGGCGGGAGAGGCCGGUGGAGCUACCGGAGUAGCGGUGAAAUGCGCAGAUACCGGUAGAAACCUCGAUGGCGAAGGCAGCCGGCUGGCCCGUUCCUGACGCUGAGGCGCGAAAGCGUGGGGAGCGAACCGGAUUAGAUACCCGGGUAGUCCACGCCCUAAACGAUGCGGGCUAGGUGUUGGCUCCUUGAACCGUGGGCCAGUGCCGCAGCUAACGCGGUAAGCCCGCCGCCUGGGGAGUACGGUCGCAAGGCUGAAACUCAAAUGAAUUGACGGGG